rnacentral:rRNA from 2 species
UAGGGAAUCUUCCGCAAUGGACGAAAGUCUGACGGAGCAACGCCGCGUGAGUGAUGAAGGUUUUCGGAUCGUAAAGCUCUGUUGUUAGGGAAGAACAAGUGCCGUUUGAAUAAGGCGGCACCUUGACGGUACCUAACCAGAAAGCCACGGCUAACUACGUGCCAGCAGCCGCGGUAAUACGUAGGUGGCAAGCGUUGUCCGGAAUUAUUGGGCGUAAAGCGCGCGCAGGCGGUCUCUUAAGUCUGAUGUGAAAGCCCACGGCUCAACCGUGGAGGGUCAUUGGAAACUGGGAGACUUGAGUACAGAAGAGGAGAGUGGAAUUCCACGUGUAGCGGUGAAAUGCGUAGAUAUGUGGAGGAACACCAGUGGCGAAGGCGACUCUCUGGUCUGUAACUGACGCUGAGGCGCGAAAGCGUGGGGAGCAAACAGG